UACGGGGGGGGCAAGCGUUGUUCGGAAUUACUGGGCGUAAAGGGCUCGUAGGCGGCCAACUAAGUCGGACGUGAAAUCCCUCGGCUUAACCGGGGAACUGCGUCCGAUACUGGAUGGCUUGAGUUUGGGAGAGGGAUGCGGAAUUCCAGGUGUAGCGGUGAAAUGCGUAGAUAUCAGGAGGAACACCUGCGGUGUAGACGGCUUUCUGGACCAUUGCUGACGCUGAGACACGAAAGCGUGGGUAGCAAACAGG
rnacentral:rRNA from 1 species